GAAGCUCUGCAAUAGAUUCUGUACAGAAGUGCGAUCAUGUAUCGGGUAGAUGACGUUUUGCAACACGGCUGUGGCAUCGUCCACUGUGGCUUCUGUGGCGGCUUCAAGUUGCUAUGAGCGUUACAUGUCAUGAAAUUCAGCCAACGUAGCAGGAGGUUGUCGAAAGCCUGAUCGACUCCAACAUCUGACGGUGAUUUGUGGUUUUUCGGCGGAUCGUGGGUCAACAGAGCAGCGCCGCUGGCACAGAGGCAACUAUACGCAGGGAGAACGUUACAGAUUCGGCGGUUAAUAACCCGAUGUAAGCCUACUGGAAACACCGGUCGUUGUAAAAGGUACGUAUGUG